rnacentral:lncRNA from 1 species
CAGCAAUUUAGAUGUAAUGGAAAUUGUCAGAAAUUUUAAUUUCUCUCUGUUUAGCUCACUCACAAUGGCUGUCAAACAGUCAAGUGAUAUGACGUAAAGUACCGCUAAUCGUUUCAGCACAAGACAGUACUUCAAAGGUAAGGCAAAGGAUGUGCAGACACUAAUGAAAUUUUAUUAUCAGAACAUAGAAUUAGAAUUGUGACAAGAGACAAUGGUGGCAGUGACAUGCAGCUAGAAUGUUAAGCUUCUGAAAUCUCUGAGCUGAGUCUCACAGACAAAAAUAGCUAGAGCUGCAGACUUCUUAAUAGUCUUAAAUGGAAAUUGAAUGGGCUCAAUUAAUCAAGUGAACAAACUAUAGGGAAUUACAGAAAAGGCUCGUUCUGUGUUUUCAGGCUAUUAACCUGCAUGGCCAUUAUGUCCUGGUAUAAUGUUGUGGUUUGCAAUCCAUGUGUUGCUUCUCUGAGUAUAUGUUUCUGUAUUUGCAGAGAAACGUGUAAAGCUCAUGAGCCACCACGACAUGCAGAUCUGAAGGGACUUCAGCUGGCAAUAGGCAAUGUCGGGAUUCUUUCAAGGUUGAAUCUGUCUGAACAGGACAAGGAGAAGAAGACAAGAGUAGCGUCUCUCGAACACAACUAUCAGUGCCUUUUCUUCCAGGUUUGUUUUGUUUGUAUUUAGUAUUAUAUUUAUUUUUCUCCUAGAACUGCAGCUUCAGAUUUGCUGAGACCCUAAAGGAAUAAUAUACAGCAGUGAACAUCAUGUUUCUAAAAUAUGCAGUGGUUUAACUGAAUGAGAAAUUGUUUGGAUGAUGGCA